rnacentral:rRNA from 1 species
UCAUCUUCGGGGGUAGAGCACUGUUUCGGCUAGGGGGUCAUCCCGACUUACCAACCCGAUGCAAACUACGAAUACCGAAGAAUGUUAUCACGGGAGACACACGGCGGGUGCUAACGUCCGUCGUGAAGAGGGAAACAACCCAGACCGCCAGCUAAGGUCCCAAAGUCAUGGUUAAGUGGGAAACGAUGUGGGAAGGCACAGACAGCCAGGAUGUUGGCUUAGAAGCAGCCAUCAUUUAAAGAAAGCGUAAUAGCUCACUGGUCGAGUCGGCCUGCGCGGAAGAUGUAACGGGGCUAAACCAUGCACCGAAGCUGCGGCAGCGACACUAUGUGUUGUUGGGUAGGGGAGCGUUCUGUAAGCCGUUGAAGGUGGCCUGUGAGGGUUGCUGGAGGUAUCAGAAGUGCGAAUGCUGACAUAAGUAACGAUAAAGCGGGUGAAAAGCCCGCUCGCCGGAAGACCAAGGGUUCCUGUCCAACGUUAAUCGGGGCAGGGUGAGUCGACCCCUAAGGCGAGGCCGAAAGGCGUAGUCGAUGGGAAACAGGUUAAUAUUCCUGUACUCGGUGUUACUGCGAAGGGGGGACGGAGAAGGCUAUGUUAGCCGGGCGACGGUUGUCCCGGUUUAAGCAUGUAGGCGG